AGAGUUUGAUCCUGGCUCAGGAUGAACGCUAGCGGCAGGCUUAACACAUGCAAGUCGAGGGGCAGCGGGGAGGAAGCUUGCUUUCUCCGCCGGCGACCGGCGCACGGGUGAGUAACACGUAUGCAACCUGCCCCUGUCAGGGGGACAACCCGCCGAAAGGCGGGCUAAACCCGCGUACAUGCCACCGGGGCAUCCCGGAGGCAGGAAAGGCUUCGGCCGGACAGGGAUGGGCAUGCGGCGCAUUAGGCAGUAGGCGGGGUAACGGCCCACCUAACCGACGACGCGUAGGGGUUCUGAGAGGAAGGUCCCCCACACUGGUACUGGGACACGGACCAGACUCCUACGGGAGGCAGCAGUGAGGAAUAUUGGUCAAUGGUCGGGAGACUGAACCAGCCAAGCCGCGUGAGGGAGGAAGGUACAGAGUAUCGUAAACCUCUUUUGUCAGGGAACAAAGGCGGGGACGUGUCCCCGGAUGAGUGUACCUGAAGAAAAAGCAUCGGCUAACUCCGUGCCAGCAGCCGCGGUAAUACGGAGGAUGCGAGCGUUAUCCGGAUUUAUUGGGUUUAAAGGGUGCGCAGGCGGUCUGUUAAGUCAGCGGUCAAAGCCCGGGGCUCAACCCCGGCCCGCCGUUGAAACUGGCAGUCUCGAGUUGGAGAGAAGUAUGCGGAAUGCGCGGUGUAGCGGUGAAAUGCAUAGAUAUCGCGCAGAACUCCGAUUGCGAAGGCAGCAUGCCGGCUCCACACUGACGCUGAGGCACGAAAGCGUGGGUAUCGAACAGGAUUAGAUACCCUGGUAGUCCACGCAGUAAACGAUGAAUGCUGGCUGUCCGGGGGGAUUGACCCCUGGGUGGCGAAGCGAAAGCGAUAAGCAUUCCACCUGGGGAGUACGCCGGCAACGGUGAAACUCAAAGGAAUUGACGGGGGCCCGCACAAGCGGAGGAACAUGUGGUUUAAUUCGAUGAUACGCGAGGAACCUUACCCGGGCUCAAACGGGGAGUGACUCAGGCAGAGACGCCUGUUUCCCACGGGACACUCCCCGAGGUGCUGCAUGGUUGUCGUCAGCUCGUGCCGUGAGGUGUCGGCUUAAGUGCCAUAACGAGCGCAACCCCCGCGUGCAGUUGCUAACAGAUAACGCUGAGGACUCUGCACGGACUGCCGGCGCAAGCCGCGAGGAAGGCGGGGAUGACGUCAAAUCAGCACGGCCCUUACGUCCGGGGCGACACACGUGUUACAAUGGGUGGUACAGCGGGAAGCCAGGCGGCGACGCCGAGCGGAACCCGAAAUCCACUCUCAGUUCGGAUCGGAGUCUGCAACCCGACUCCGUGAAGCUGGAUUCGCUAGUAAUCGCGCAUCAGCCAUGGCGCGGUGAAUACGUUCCCGGGCCUUGCACACACCGCCCGUCA
rnacentral:rRNA from 1 species